GUCUAUAGCCAUGCUACCCUGAACAAGCCCAAUCCCAUCUGAUCUCAGAAGCUAAGCAGGGUUGGGCCUGGUUAGUACUUGGAUGGGAGACCACCUAAGAAGACCAAGUGCUGUAGGCA
rfam:Pteropus alecto contig36388, whole genome shotgun sequence.